UGAGUCACUGAGUCUGAGAGGAGCUCAGACCAAUCAUAAAGCCAAUACUUAUUUGGUGCUUUCUAGGUGUCAGACACUGGUUUCUCGAUCUUUUACAACCCUGAACUAAGCCAGUCCUCAGGACUGUCCUCUAAAGCGGUACUAGUAUAACAAACGUGCCCAUAUUGCAGAUGAAUAAACAGAGGCCCCAGGAGGUUGAGGUUAUUCCAGAAUCUUCAGCAGGUACACACGCCUUUGGCCACACCAGGCGGUUAGAACAGAGCCUGUUCUGAUUGGUCGCUGCCUGCCCUACUGAUUAUUCAAUGUUUUGAACGUCGCCCUGGUUACAGAGCUGGAUGGAAGAGGCAGGAUCCAAAUCUGUCCCCCGCACUGGAGCCACACUCCCAACCACGAUCCUCUAUCCAACGAGCGCCAUCACCACCCAGAAACAGCACACCUCAGGGACAAAUGAGGAAUCUGAGGGCCAAAGAUGUUGAACAAGAUCCCCCAAACCAGGAAGCUAGGAAGAGGCACAGCUGGGUCAUCUGAUUCCAACCUCAGUUCCCAAGGGGACCCCAAGUAGAUGUCAGCUCAUCUGACCCUGUCAUGUCGCUGGUGUCCCUGCUUCUGUAGAUCCUGUGUUCUGAAUGCAAGCCAGAACCUCUACAUUUGCUGUAUUUCCCUGCUGUGUUCCAGCAACAGUUCCAACAGUCAACGCUCAUU